rnacentral:misc_RNA from 1 species
AAGUCGUAACAAGGUAACCGUAGGUGAACCUGCGGUUGGAUCAUUAAUGAAUUAUGUUUCAACGUGAAGUUGAAGCUAAUUAGAAGUGAUUCUUUGAAGAGUUGAAAAACUUGGACGAGUUUCCUUCGUUAACCAUUGUGAAUCGUUUUUAGUCUUUGGUUAUGGUGUUAAAACCUUCCAUUGACUACUUAAACAUUAAAGUCUUUAGAAACUAGUCUUAAAUAAAACAACUUAAUGUUGAAACAACUUUUGACAACGGAUCUCUUGGCUCUC